GGCUACUUAGGUAGGCACCAUGAGGACCACCCUCCCUUUGUCUUAAUUUUGUUUCCGCAAGUGUCCCCUUUUUCUUCCUCCUCAAUUUUUAAAACCUUCCAUUUCCUUUUGACUAUGUUCAGUUUUGCUAUUUGACCUCUGAAUAUCAACCUAAGCCGUGUCCCUCUCUUCACUCUAUCACAUUGUAAGAUAUGUACUUG
rnacentral:lncRNA from 1 species